GGGAAGGUAGCUCAGUGGUAGAGCGCUAGCCUUGCAUGCAUGAGGCCCUGGGUUCGAUUCCUCAGCACCA
rnacentral:tRNA from 1 species